rnacentral:lncRNA from 1 species
AAUAUUAACAUAAUAAAAGAAACUGUGAAACAAUCGUAUGAAUAAGCAGUCAAGAAUAACAGUUAUAAACUAAAAAGGGUUCAAUUAAAAUCAAUCCAAAAUCAGAAGGAUAAUUUGAAAACAGAAUAUAACAACAAAAGGACCAAUGAUCGAUGCACGAAAACAGCUAGGGACAAAGACUGGCAAUAUACCAGAUCCUAAAUGUUGCGUUUAAGCGCGGAUCUAUUUGCAAACGUGUGAAAACUACAUGUCUAAAUUAAUAAAAAAAAGAAAUACAAAGGAGAGUCAAAUGAAACACGGUGCAACAGGGAGGGACCGAUGCUGCAAAUAGACCCUCGUCGCAAAAACUCGCGGGUCAUCGGGGCAGCUAAACGGAUCGGGUCGGGGCUCCUCCAGACGACAUCGUUUUUGAGCCGUUGAAAUGGGCUUGAAACGGCGUCGCAUUUAACCCUUUAAAAGGCCAGAAAACUGAGUCAUUCGGUCGAACCCUAGCCCUUUCCCUCGUUUGUUGCUCAAUCAACCCCCAAGUGCUCCUCUUAGCACUAAUGCGCCACCACGGAAGGCAAUUAGUACCCGGACUCAACAGAGGGGCUUUCGGCCUUAAAGACCCCGUUUGGACUUCGAUUUUGACGAAGCGAAAGGGAAACGAUGGCCGGCUCGUCAGGUAGACUCUUUUUUGUUUUCUUUUUUGUUACUGAUUUCAAAAUGAAAAAGGAAAAUGGAGGUGUAAAAAAAGGGAACCACCUUUGAAGAAUGUUCAACUUUUCUGUAAUCGAUUGCUAUUCUGCGUAUACUGCCCCCCUUUUUUUGUGUUUUUUUUGGUAACCGGUUACAAGGAUUAAAGUUUCGGCUUUAUAGCCGAAGAAAAAAGGAAAUUCCAAAUAAAAAAUACAAUAUUUCUCUUUUUGUUUGCAUUCGCUGCUGUUCUGCCUCGUUUGUUUGCAGGUACGGAGGUACAGAGCCAGCUGUGGGGAUAUGUGGCACUCAACGUGGGGCGUACGGAGGCGUUGAAGGCGGUCGUACGGCGCGAGGGCUGGGGCUCGUCUGCGAUUGCGGCGCAAAUGUGAGGAAGAAACCCUAGGGUUUCUUUGUUUAGGCAUUUGGGCUUAUUGGGCCUAUUUUUGGGUCAGGUAUAGGUUUAGUCAUUGGGCUUGUAACUUGGGCCUUGGGUUUUAAUUUUAAGUCUAGAUUAUGUAAUUGGGUUUGGGCUAUGUAAUGAUUUGGUUUGUAAAAAGACAUUAAUUAAUGGACUGUUAUAAUUUUAUUUAUUUUAUGUUUAUGGCUUUUGGUUUAUUUUUUGGUUUGUUUUGUGUUUGCAUGGGCCGGACAAAUUUGGCCCACUACAGUACCCAAGUAAAUAGCUUUAAACGUAUUAUACAAAUUCAUCUACCGCACUAUUGUUCUUACUUUCUCAAAUAAUGGCUCCAAAGUUUUGAUAUAAAUCUCAAUAGAUUCAGAUUUAGCAAAGCAACUAAUAUAUUAUC